UCGGGAAUUUUGGGCAAUGGGUGCAAGCCUGAUCCAGCCAUGCCGCGUGCAGGAAGAAGGCCUUCUGGGUUGUAAACUGCUUUUUGCCAGGGAAUAAAAUUUCUUUGCGAAGAAAAUUGAAGGUACCUGGUGAAUAAGCCACGGCUAACUACGUGCCAGCAGCCGCGGUAAUACGUAGGUGGCAAGCGUUGUCCGGAUUUAUUGGGUUUAAAGGGUGCGUAGGCGGUUCCAUAAGUCAGUGGUGAAAUACAAUAGCUUAACUAUUGAGGUGCCAUUGAUACUGCGGAACUUGAGUACAGACGAGGUAGGCGGAAUUGACGGUGUAGCGGUGAAAUGCUUAGAUAUCGUCAAGAACACCGAUAGCGAAGGCAGCUUACUAGACUGUAACUGACGCUGAGGCACGAAAGUGUGGGGAUCAAACAGGAUUAGAUACCCCGGUAGUCCCUGAGCGGGCUGGCAAGGCGCAU
rnacentral:rRNA from 1 species